GAUGAACGCUAGCGGCAGGCCUAAUACAUGCAAGUCGAACGAGAUUAAGAGGCUUGCUUCUUAUGAAAGUGGCGCACGGGUGCGUAACGCGUAUGCAACCUACCUUAAUCAGGGGGAUAGCCCGAAGAAAUUCGGAUUAAGACCGCAUAAAAACACAGGAUAGCAUUAUCCAAUGUUCAAAUAUUUAUAGGAUUAAGAUGGGGAUGCGUGUCAUUAGCUAGUUGGCGGGGUAACGGCCCACCAAGGCGACGAUGACUAGGGGAUCUGAGAGGAUGACCCCCCACACUGGUACUGAGACACGGACCAGACUCCUACGGGAGGCAGCAGUAAGGAAUAUUGGUCAAUGGAGGGAACUCUGAACCAGCCAUGCCGCGUGCAGGAAGACAGCCCUCUGGGUCGUAAACUGCUUUUAUUCGGGAAUAAACCUUUCUACGUGUAGGAAGCUGAAUGUACCGAAGGAAUAAGGAUCGGCUAACUCCGUG
rnacentral:rRNA from 1 species